ACCUGCAGGCCGUGGCGAAGGAGACGUUGCGGCUGCACCCGACGCCGGCCGCGCCCCGCUGCUCCCCCGUUGGCUGCCGCCCGCCGCCCACGUCCGCCCGC
rnacentral:sRNA from 1 species